GCGUCUGUAGCCUAGCUAGUAAAGGCAGCACUCUAGUAUGUGUCUCAGCUGAGCUGAGGUUGUGAGUUCAAAUCUCACCAGACACA
rnacentral:tRNA from 2 species